GGGUGCAUGGUCUAGUGGUAUGAUUUUCGCUUCGCAUUAAAAAAAUAUCUGAAGUGAGAGAUGCGCUUGUGAAAGGUCCCCGGUUCGAUCCCGGGUGCAUCCA